AGCUCCGGUUUCCCGAAGUUAUCCCAGUCUUAUAGGUAGGUUACCUACGUGUUACUCACCCGUCCGCCGCUAACGUCAAAGGAGCAAGCUCCUCGUCUGUUCGCUCGACUUGCAUGUAUUAGGCACGCCGCCAGCGUUCAUCCUGAGCCAGGAUCAAACUCU
rnacentral:rRNA from 1 species